rnacentral:lncRNA from 1 species
AAGUAUAUAUGUGCUAAUAAGCAUCAAAUAUGCUAAUGAUGUGGCUUGACAUGGAGUAGGUACCAAAUGAACUAUUAUUGCUCCAAACAAAAUUCUUGUCCCGAUGUUAAACUUCCCUCAUCACAACAACAACCAAUAGUUUGUGAUGUCCCGACAUCAAGUGGUUCGACAUCGUGACAUGACACGCUAUUUUGGUUAUGGCAUCCGACAGUCGGGUUGGGCAAGGGGUGUUACAAAUCAGGCACACAAAAUUUCAACUUUGAUAUCCAUGCAAACCAA